rnacentral:rRNA from 1 species
GACAGAGGUGCCGAGCGUUAGGCGGAAUCACUGGGCUUAAAGCGUGUGUAGGCGGGCGGGCAAGUACCUUGUGAAAUCCCACGGCUCAACCGUGGAACGGCUGGGUAUACUGCCUGUCUUGAGCCAACUAGGGGCGAGCGGAACAGACGGUGGAGCGGUGAAAUGCGUAGCUAUCGUUUGGAACGCCAAUGGUGAAAACAACUUGCUGGGGGUGUGCUGACGCUGAGACACGAAAGCCAGGGGAGCAAACGGG